AAAAAAAAAAAAAAAAACCAAUUUUGAAACCCGUCACAGGUUGGCAUUCUAGUCAGGCAGUAUAGCAACUGUAACAUUUGUAAUUGUUUUAGAUCAAUUUUCUCAAAUUAUUGUUUAUAUGAAUUCCAUAAUCUGAAACAUGAAAAAGAAAAAUAAUAAAAAGCAUUGUUUAUUUGUUGGUUUAUUCUCUUGUCCCUUUUAGGUGGGGUGGGGAGGUUAACCUAAGCAAUGCAAGCUUUAAGCCUUCGAGCAUUUACUUGGUCUCCUAUGCACUGUGUGUUCUCUUUUUUGACUUGAUGCCCCUAGGAUCCAGACACCAAGUUUAUGAUACACCGAGUUGUUCUAUUGGCUUGUCUUACAAGUCUGUCAUCUGGGCAGUCGCUUACGUGGUUUCCUUAUCUAUAUUCUAAAUUGUGUCUAUUUGCGUAACUUGAGAAUAAAGUUCAGUAUGUUUGAACUAAUAUUUGUCCUAAGGAUUCCAGCCGAAAAUGGGGUCAAUGUUUGGCAGGCACAAUAAAAAAUUGUUGAUGUGCUGUGUACACUGACUACUAGCUUCGAGAACAUGGAAAAUUAUUCAAUUAUUAUGUCAAAAUUCUCAUACUUGAUUUGUCAACUUUUUUAUCCACUUAAAAAAAAAAUCACCAUAUUCAUCGGUCAAACUAGACGCCCAUUGGGCUGAUUCCGAUUUGAACCUGCUCAGAACCACUCCAAGGACUUGAUUUUG
rnacentral:misc_RNA from 1 species